rnacentral:rRNA from 1 species
UACAGAGGUCUCAAGCGUUGUUCGGAUUCAUUGGGCGUAAAGGGCGCGUAGGCGGCGGGGCAAGUCUGAUGUGAAAUCUCAGGGCUCAACCCUGAAACUGCAUUCGAUACUGCCUUGCUCGAGGGCUGGAGAGGAGAUUGGAAUUCACGGUGUAGCAGUGAAAUGCGUAGAUAUCGGGAGGAAGACCAGUGGCGAAGGCGGAGCUCUGGACAGUUCCUGACGCUGAGGCACGAAGGCCAGGGGAGCAAACGGG